GCUUAACACAUGCAAGUCGAGCGGUAAGGCCUUCGGGGUACACGAGCGGCGAACGGGUGAGUAACACGUGGGUGAUCUGCCUCGCACUUCGGGAUAAGCCUGGGAAACUGGGUCUAAUACCGGAUAUGACCUUUCAGUGCAUGCUGUUGGGUGGAAAGAUUUAUCGGUGCGAGAUGGGCCCGCGGCCUAUCAGCUUGUUGGCGGGGUAACGGCCCACCAAGGCGACGACGGGUAGCCGACCUGAGAGGGUGACCGGCCACACUGGGACUGAGACACGGCCCAGACUCCUACGGGAGGCAGCAGUGGGGAAUAUUGCACAAUGGGCGGAAGCCUGAUGCAGCGACGCCGCGUGAGGGAUGACGGCCUUCGGGUUGUAAACCUCUUUCGACAGGGACGAAGCGCAAGUGACGGUACCUGUAGAAGAAGCACCGGCCAACUACGUGCCAGCAGCCGCGGUAAUACGUAGGGUGCGAGCGUUGUCCGGAAUUACUGGGCGUAAAGAGCUUGUAGGCGGUUUGUCGCGUCGUCCGUGAAAACUUGGGGCUCAACCCCAAGCUUGCGGGCGAUACGGGCAGACUUGAGUACUUCAGGGGAGACUGGAAUUC
rnacentral:rRNA from 1 species